rnacentral:rRNA from 1 species
UACGGGGGGUGCUAACGUUGUCCGGAAUUACUGGGCGUAAAGCGCAUGUAGGUGGUUUUGUAAGUCAGCGAUGAAAGACCGUCGCUCAACGACGGGAACGUUUCUGAUACUGCAAGACUUGAGUGAGGCAGGGGUACGCGGAACUUUCGGUGUAGGAGUGAAAUCCGUAGAUAUCGAAAGGAACACCAAUGGCGAAGGCAGCGUACUGGGCCUUUACUGACACUCAGAUGCGAAAGCGUGGGGAGCAAAC